UUAACAGUUUAGUAGCAAUCAGACCAUCCAAGAGUUCAUUUUAGAACCCUGCAAUCCUUUGGCUUUUAGCACUUCAAAUCAUGUCUGGAGUUAAAGGUCAACAGAAGAAAUGCCAAGAGCAAUGCCCACCACAGCCCUGCAAUCCAUGCCCUCCACAGCCCUGUAACCCAUGCCCUCCACCACAGAAGUGCCAGGAUCCUUGCCCUAAGCCAGUCCCACAAUGCCAAGAUCCAUGUAAGCCACAUCAGACCCAUGGAGGUCAACACCAACACUGAAAGAAGCAAUGACACAAGUUGUUGACUGGCUGCUAUCAAGAGACAUUAAUCACCAUACUAUAUAGCUUCAAUAUCACCCAAUAUUAAAGUCUGAGAUUACUUGCUUAAAAAUCUGCAAAUGGCAUUCUAAAUAUAUCAAUUAAAUAAUGCACUAUUUAAAUCUA